AUUUGCAGCUGGCUGUGUGGCAGUGAAAUCCCUACAAAGUCAAAAAAGGAGGACAGAGUAAAGUAACAAGAAGCAAAGCCAAGGAAGAGAGGAAAUUGUGAAGAGAUGAGAUGGAGGAAAAAAAAGGAAGUGAUGCAGAGGACAAGGAGGGAAGAAGUCUUGGACGAAAGAAAAAAAAGGAGAAAAAAAGAACCAGACAAGCAAUGGUCCCCUGGUAAACAAUGACAUAAUUAAUGACUGAAGAAUGGGAUCAAUACAAAAAAGGAGGAUGUUUGUUUAAUCCUUGUGUCUACGGAUCCAAACUUCUCAGCUAUGCGCUGAGCCUGGAGACUAAAUGGCAGACUGUAUUUUGCUCAAGGACUAAACAAGGACCAAACUAUAUUUGGCGUAUGGAAUUUGCAUAAAUGGUUGCAUAAAUGGCUUUUCCCACAAAAUCAUCUGGUUGAAAGUGGCAUACACAAGCAGUGACCCACAUGUCAUAGGAGGCUACUUUGUGGAGGCUGUGGGGCAGACUGGUGGUUGUGCUUGGAUCAGCCGAGCAAAUCUGGGAACUGAAAAUGUGGUUAUCCGAGACAUCCGAACCUUCCUCCACCGCCAUGACAUUGACAACAGGUCUGUUGAUCAGAGCUACAUCGCUAGAAGCACUACUUCAAAUCAAAGAAUCGAGACUUGGUGGGAGAUCCUGCACUGGAUACACUAGGCCUGUUUGUUGGUGACUACCUGGACAAAUCUCUUGUGCAGCUGAAUUUUCGGAACAUUAUUCAGGAAGACCUGGAUAAGAUCAAGACAGUGUGGAACACCCACCGCCUCCAGCCAACAAAGAAUUACAAUGUACCUAGUGGCAUCCCUCAUGUGAUGUAUAUUGUGCCACACCUGUGGAGUUCUGAGGAUUUUGUCUUUCCACACAACAACCUCUGUGCAUGCAAGUUCUUUCAACCAUCCCUUGCAACGAAGACGUUUUUGACCUUUGUAAUAUGAUCAUGUAAGAGUCAGGUCUUACUUUCCCCACAAACAUACCACAAGCUCAAGAGUUUUAAUUGACGAUUCAGGAGGCCCUUAGCUCCCUUAUCUUUAACUGACCUGCCUGAGAAAUCCGCAUACAUCAUUACCUUUGUCCAGUUGUGUGAGUCAUUGAAGUUCAUUUAACUUGUUCCACAAAUAGGCCUUCUUAACCUAUUACACUUGAGUUUAUUAAUUAUACUUUGCUUGCUUACUGUUGCUGUUGGCACUUUUCUCAUAUAGAAGCAAUGUGCAUCUCGUUAAUCAAUGAUACAGUGUCAAUAUCUUAUCAUACAUUGAGUUAACGUAUGUCUAUCUGGCAGCAUAUUUGUGUUUAAAUUCAUUACAGCCAAAGCUUCUUUCUACUAAAAAGACAUGGACAUUGGACCUCAAUGUUCUUGUGGUGAAUCAUUUCUAUACAAAAUUAGGUAUUUAUUCGAUGUCUUGAUGUCCAUUUUUAGUACAUUCCAAUUCAUUAAUAAGCAUAUAUCACUGCUGUUAAAUCUAGGUACCUUAGUGGUACAGCAUUCCCCAUGUGUUGUCAGUGGCUUCAUGGAUGUAAAGCAUUGAAUGAGUCUACAA